rnacentral:rRNA from 1 species
ACGCCCUACGGGGGAAAGAUUUAUCGGGGAAGGAUUGGCCCGCGUUGGAUUAGCUAGUUGGUGGGGUAAAGGCCUACCAAGGCGACGAUCCAUAGCUGGUCUGAGAGGAUGAUCAGCCACAUUGGGACUGAGACACGGCCCAAACUCCUACGGGAGGCAGCAGUGGGGAAUAUUGGACAAUGGGCGCAAGCCUGAUCCAGCCAUGCCGCGUGAGUGAUGAAGGCCUUAGGGUUGUAAAGCUCUUUCACCGGAGAAGAUAAUGACGGUAUCCGGAGAAGAAGCCCCGGCUAACUUCGUGCCAGCAGCCGCGGUAAUACGAAGGGGGCUAGCGUUGUUCGGAAUUACUGGGCGUAAAGCGCACGUAGGCGG